AUGCAGUCGAGCGGUAGAGAGAAGCUUGCUUCUCUUGAGAGCGGCGGACGGGUGAGUAAUGCCUAGGAAUCUGCCUGGUAGUGGGGGAUAACGUUCGGAAACGGACGCUAAUACCGCAUACGUCCUACGGGAGAAAGCAGGGGACCUUCGGGSCUUGCGCUAUCAGAUGAGCCUAGGUCGGAUUAGCUAGUUGGUGGGGUAAUGGCU
rnacentral:rRNA from 1 species